AUUGAACGCUGGCGGCAUGCCUAACACAUGCAAGUCGAACGAGUGGCGGACGGGUGAGUAAUGUCUUGGAAACUGCCUGAUGGAGGGGGAUAACUACUGUAAACGGUAGCUAAUACCGCAUACCAUCGGAUGUGCCCAGAUGGGAUUAGCUAGGAGGUGGGGGAAAGGCUCACCUAGGGGACGCUCCCUAGCUGGUCUGAGAGGAUGACCAGCAACACUGGAACUGAGACACGGUCCAGACUCCGAAGGGAGGCAGCAGGGGGGAAUAUUGAACAAUGGGCGGAAGCCUGAUGGAGACAUGCCGCGUGUAUGAAGAAGGCCUUCGGGUUGUAAAGUACUUGCAGCGGGGAGGCGUUACCCGAAGAAGAAGCACCGGCUAACUCCGUGCCAGCAGCCGCGGUAAUUC
rnacentral:rRNA from 1 species